CGGGCUGGCCGGGCGACCGCGUCGACGUACUCCCGGAGACGGGAGGACGGCGCCGAGGAAGGUCCGGGCUCCACAGGGCAAGGUGGUGGGUAACACCCACCCGGGGUGACCCGCGGGACAGUGCCACAGAGAACAGACCGCCUCUCCCCCUGAUUCGUCAGAGAGAGGGGUAAGGGUGAAACGGUGGUGCAAGAGACCACCAGCGACCCGGGCGACCGGGCCGGCUAGGCAAACCCCACCUGGAGCAAGGUCAAGAAGUCCAGUGCCUUCGGGCACCGGGCGCGCGUGCGACUGAGGGCGGCCCGCCCGAGUACGCGGGUAGACCGCUGGAGGAUGUCGGCAACGGCAUCCGUAGAUGGAUGGUCGCCGACCAGGGCCCGCGAGGGACCUGGAAACAGAACCCGGCCUACAGGCCAGCCCGUCCG
rnacentral:RNase_P_RNA from 1 species